ACGGGAGGCAGCAGUGAGGAAUAUUGGUCAAUGGACGGAAGUCUGAACCAGCCAAGUCGCGUGCGGGAUGAAGGCCCUACGGGUCGUAAACCGCUUUUGUACGGGGAUAAAGUCACCCACGUGUGGGUGUUUGUAGGUACCGUAAGAAUAAGGAUCGGCUAACUCCGUGCCAGCAGCCGCGGUAAUACGGAGGAUGCGAGCGUUAUCCGGAUUUAUUGGGUUUAAAGGGUGCGUAGGCGGGACGUUAAGUCAGUGGUAAAAGCGUGUGGCUCAACCAUACCAAGCCAUUGAAACUGUCGUUCUUGAGUGUAAACGAGGUAGGCGGAAUGUGACGUGUAGCGGUGAAAUGCUUAGAUAUGUCACAGAACCCCGAUUGCGAAGGCAGCUUACCAGCAUACAACUGACGCUGAGGCACGAAAGCGUGGGUAUCAAACAGGAUUAGAUACCCUGGUA
rnacentral:rRNA from 1 species